GACGAACGCUGGCGGCGUGCUUAACACAUGCAAGUCGAACGGAAAGGCCCUGCUUUUGUGGGGUGCUCGAGUGGCGAACGGGUGAGUAACACGUGAGUAACCUGCCUUUGACUUUGGGAUAACUUCAGGAAACUGGGGCUAAUACCGGAUAGGAGCUCCUGCUGCAUGGUGGGGGUUGGAAGGUUUCGGCGGUUGGGGAUGGACUCGCGGCUUAUCAGCUUGUUGGUGGGGUAGUGGCUUACCAAGGCUUUGACGGGUAGCCGGCCUGAGAGGGUGACCGGCCACAUUGGGACUGAGAUACGGCCCAGACUCCUACGGGAGGCAGCAGUGGGGAAUAUUGCACAAUGGGCGGAAGCCUGAUGCAGCAACGCCGCGUGCGGGAUGACGGCCUUCGGGUUGUAAACCGCUUUCGCCUGUGACGAAGCGUGAGUGACGGUAAUGGGUAAAGAAGCACCGGCUAACUACGUG
rnacentral:rRNA from 1 species